CUGAAGCUUGCCAACCCUCACUGUAGAUUGUUUCAGAGGAUUUCCAGAGGCCCCCUUCCACCUCCCUACAUUGUGCUUAUGGGAAGGGCCAGGGCCCCUGCAGGGCCAUUCCGCCAUGGGGGAGGCAGCUUCUGGGUGGGCCGCCCGUGCCAACUGCUUUCCAGCCUUUUGACACCUGUGUGGGAAACACAAGGGAAUCUUCAUAGCUGAGCUUCAGAAAACAAAAACACCCCUGGCCUCGCCUGCGACUGCUGCGGGCAGCACACUGCACACCAGCUAUCUGCUUCUUAGCUGCGCCACUCUGGAUCUGGAAUGUGGCAGUCUUGGUGUUGGUCCCCGGCGAGCUGUAUGACUUUGGGUUGGGAAAAUCGUUCAAGUUUUCUGAGCCUAGAAAACUCAGCCACAAGGAGGAAGGAAUGAAAGUAAAAAUUCACUUCACCUGUGUUCCUAUCAGCCAGCAAUAACUACUGUCAAAAUUUUGACUCCACUGAUGCCUCUCCUUUCCAAACUUGGUGUUUUCCACAGCCUGGGCCACAGCUUCUUUGAGCUGCUGUUCAGAGACCUAGAAAAUAUCAAUCAUCUCCUCAAACAAACAGUGGGAGCUCCUGCAUCAGGCUUCCAGCCCUGGACCAGCUCCCAAGCUGGGCCACUGGAUUCUGGAUUUUUGUCUUUCAACUUACUCUGCAAAUAGCUGACAAAUUCCAUUUCCAGAAAUACCCCGGGAAUCAAUGGUUCCUCAGUAUCUUCUAGAUAAAGUCCAAAGUCUAUCAAUGCAGGGGUUCCCAAGGAGGCCCCCUCAACUCUCCACCCUUCUCCCCAUUACUUGCUGGAAAAUUCUAGGCAAAGUUACCACUUCAUAGGUUAUCUCUAUGAGCUAGUCCAUUCUUGGCAAUGCUGUCAUGACAUCAUCAUUAUCAACAAUGUCGUAAUCAUCACAAUCACUGUUAUACUGUCUGAGCUGUGACUCACAGUUUAUCA